rnacentral:tRNA from 1 species
GGGGGUAUAGCUCAGUGGUAGAGCAUUUGACUGCAGAUCAAGAGGUCCCCAGUUCAACUCUGGGUGCCCCUC